GGGAAUGUGGCUUAGUGGAAGAGUGCUUGCCUAGCAUGCAUGAAGCCCUGGGUUCAAUUCCUCAGUACCA
rfam:Dipodomys ordii contig_3682, whole genome shotgun sequence.